rnacentral:rRNA from 1 species
CCUUCACCAGCCGGCGACCGGCGCACGGGUGAGUAACACGUAUGGAACCUGCCCGCCACAGGGGGAUAACCCGGGGAAACCCGGCCUAAUACCCCAUGCCGCCCGGACCGGGCAUCCGGUCCGGGCGAAAGGAGGAAUCCGGUGGCGGCUGGGCAUGCGGCGCAUUAGCUUGACGGCGGGGUAACGGCCCACCGUGGCGACGAUGCGUAGGGGUUCUGAGAGGAAGGCCCCCCACACUGGAACUGAGACACGGUCCAGACUCCUACGGGAGGCAGCAG